UGGUAGGCAAGAGGUAAGCCGUCGGGCUCAUGAUUCGAUGAUCGGUGGUUCGAAUCCACCCC
rnacentral:tRNA from 1 species